GAUGAACGCUGGCGGCGUGCCUAAUACAUGCAAGUCGAGCGAACAGAUGAAGUGCUUGCACUUCUGACGUUAGCGGCGAACGGGUGAGUAACACGUAAGGAAUCUACCUAUAAGCGGGGGAUAACAUUCGGAAACGGGUGCUAAUACCGCAUAAUAUCUUCUUCCGCAUGGAAGAAGAUUGAAAGACGGCUCUGCUGUCACUUAUAGAUGACCUUGCGGUGCAUUAGUUAGUUGGUGGGGUAACGGCCUACCAAGACGAUGAUGCAUAGCCGACCUGAGAGGGUGAUCGGCCACAUUGGGACUGAGACACGGCCCAAACUCCGACGGGAGGCAGAAGUAGGGAAUCUUCCGCAAUGGGCGAAAGCCUGACGGAGCAAUGCCGCGUGAGUGAAGAAGGCCUUCGGGUCGUAAAACUCUGUUAUAAGAGAAGAACAAAUUGUAGAGUAACUGCUACAGUCUUGACGGUAUCUUAUCAGAAAGCCACGGCUAACUACGUGCCAGCCGCCGCCGUAA
rnacentral:rRNA from 1 species